UUGUGAAUGAGAUGGCUGUGUUUUAUGCUGCUCCUUGAGACAUUAACAAUGAUUCUCUCUCUCGUUCUUUUUAAAAACCACCCUUGUUUGAGUUUAUAGCCUACAAGGUUCUGACAUGGGUGGCAACAGGGGAUAUUUCCUUCAGAAAAAAUCCGGAGUAUAUUUCCUUCAAAGUGUGUGCAGGCAGGAGGAAAAUUUCACACUGAGAGGCUGUAGAGCUCUGAUAGCUAUGAGAUUGGGGUUAAUGCCCUUAAUGCUGCACAUGCACAAAACCAUCCUCAGAGCAGGUGGGAGAACUCCGAGUCAAGAUAAUUGGUCCACCCAGUGACAGUGAUUCUCAAAAUUCUUAAGAGGCAGUUCUUGGAAUUUAUGAGCCAG
rnacentral:lncRNA from 11 species